AUGACUUAUUUUAUUUCUUUGUUUUUGAUUAUUUUAGUUCCUCGGCUGUUUUUAUUUAUCACAAAUAUUGUCAUCGCAAUAUUAAUCACUGUUAUCGAAUACGGGCUGUGGGUCGUUAUGAUGUUGUGUUUAUUAGUGCUACAGAUAAAAGCACCGAGUGUUAACGUGUGUUGUCGUCCUCCUGCAAGAGAAAACUCUGGAGAUGGGACGGUUUUAAAUAACGUACUUAAUGUUCGGCUCUGUUCGUGUGCCGCUGGACGAGUGGCAGAUCCCAGCUUAGCUUUGUGUGUGUUCACUUAUUUGGGAUGUGCUACAAAUGAAUCUUUAAAUCUUUAAAUGAUAGAAGAAGGACAAAUAAAAAGAAGCUUUUACACAAAUGUAUGAAUUUUUUUUUUUACUUUUGUUGGUUUGAAACACGGAUUUUAAGCUUUUUUCUUUCCUCAAAAGCAUGAAAUGAAACUUUUAAUGAGUUAUUUGUGACGUCUGGGUUUAAAGAGGCCAUAUGAUGGAAAACCACCUUUACCGUGUCAUAUUGGUACUUCCUCAUGAAAACCACCCCUAAACCUGAUUUUGGCUGAAUGAAGGGACGGUGUCGUGUGCAAAAACAGCAUGAAAGAGUGAAAGAGCGAGACCAACCCUCGGUUGAGAACAGGGGAAGGAGAACAAGUGCACUUUGCCAAAGUCAUCAGCAGAGGCCAGCAGGGAUUUGUCAUGUGACCGGCACACGGCGUUGAUGUCUGUGCCGUCUGCUCCAUCUGGCCAAACUCCUGCAAGACACAGGAGGAGAAGACCGGGGGGGGGNNNNNNNNNNNNNNNNNNNNNNNNNNNNNNNNNNNNNNNNNNNNNNNNGGUGCCGGCCACCCGCCCCGCGCGAGGCCCGAGGGGGAGGGGGGGGGGGGGGGGGGGGGGGGGGGGGGGGGGGUAUGGGAGACAAAUAUUGAUCUGUUCCGUUUCUGUUGGUAGGACAACACAAACGAAGAACGUCAGCCAAGACAACAAUACUUAAAUCCUGGAGGUACAAGCCUUAGGCCGCAUUAAUGUUCUGCUUUUCUGGUUUUCAAGGCAUUUAUCAGAUUUUCUUCAGCUGCUGGUCUUUCUCAACAAGCCAUGAUUCAUUCAUUCAUUCAUUCAUCCAUCCAUCCCCAGUGAGUCGUGGAGGAUGGCUGCUUAUACUGAGCCAGGAUUCUCUGGAGGUUUCUUCCUGUUAAAAGGGAGUUUUCCUCUCCACUGUCGCUGCAUGCUUGCUUAGUAUGAGGAUUGCUGUAAAGACUCUGACACUAGUCAGUGACUCGAUGCAACCUGCUGGGUUCCUUAUAUAGGAUACUUGUUACUGAUUGGCUUAAUGACCUGACCUGUGUUGGAGUGUGAAGCAGAGGUGUGACCAAGUCACUGCUUUGCAAGUCACAAGUAAGUCACAAGUCUUUCCAGUCAAGUCUCGAGUCAAGUCCAAGUCAAAGACAACCAAGUCCAAGUUGAGUCCAAAGUCAAUGGUGUGGAAGUCCAAGUGAAGUACAAGUCCUUAACUCUGACUUUUCAAGUCAUAUUCAAGUCAACUGACCAACUUCAAUUUAAUGACGAUGAAAAUAAAUUCCAGAGAUAAAAAUUCUUAAAGUUUAGUUUAUUGCUGCAGAACAAAAUCAAACCCUGAACCAAGAAUGAUUUAUGAUUUUUGUCCAUGUCGGGCCACUUUUGUGCUAAAAUAUCGAAUAUGCUCAAGUCAUCAUCAAGUCAACAGAUGCAAGUCGAUUCAAGUCGCAAGUCACUGGAGUUCAAAUCCGAGUCAAGUCAGAAGUCUUUAUAGAUGUUAUCAAGUCAAGUCAGAAGUCAUUAAAAUAACGACUCAAGUCUGACUCGAGUCCAAGUCAUGUGACUCGAGUCCAAGUCAUGUGACUCGAGUCCACACCUCUGGUGUGACGGUCCUUGAGACGACGCUGGUCCUGAUUUGUUAUAGCUAAAAUUGAAUUGUAUUUCUUCUACAAAGAACUUCUUACAAAAAUGUCUGCAGACUUGAUCCCAAACAUGCGUUUGGCUUUAAUCUCACUCAGCAGAGCUCGAGUUCUCGGUCUGACCGAUCCACUAGUGUUAGUCAUCUUAACAACCCACCGAAGGUGUUGAAGCUCAGAGUGCAGGUAGCGGUGGCCCACUGCAGGUUGCGUAUGGUGUCCAUGUUGGUGACGUGUUUACCAUUUGAUGCCUCCCCUAAAAAGUGCAACCAUGAUUCAUCCGUCAUCAGUUUUGCUUUCAUUGUGAAGUUUUAGCUGAAAUUCUCACACAGAAAUGCAAACAGACAACAAACAGAAGAGGACCUACAGAAGAGGAUCUCGUAAUCUCCUGAGUUGGUGACGAGGUAUUUGCUGUCUGUAGACCAGUCCAGGUGGGUGACAAAGCUGGAGUGGCCCUGAGGGUCAAAACCAAACAACAUUCGUUCUUAAACCAGUCUCCUGGGUUCAACCGCCACACACACACACACACACACACACACACACGUGCAGCAAGGCAAUCUUUUUGAAGCUGAUGCGAAGCGAUGGUACACGAGAAACCUCCCCUUUCCGUCGCUCUGGUGUUGGAGUGUGAUGCGAGAGAAGGAGGAAUCCGUCCCCGCCCUCUCCAUCCCCUGAUGCCACCAGCUAAACCACCCAGAGUAAACACGCCACACUGUAGCAUCAUUUUAUUCCUAACUCACUAGUGCACUCGCUGCUGCGGCAUUAAAGAUGACCAGCCUUAGCAUCCAAACGCUAAGAAGAUUAGUGGAGGGGAAAUGUGACAGUGUGCAAAAAUAGCUUUCUCUGUAGGCCUGAGAGGCUUCCAGCUCCAUCUGCAGAAACGCGGGACAGUGGAACAAACAGCACGCUCACAUGCUGUUCAUCACGCUAACUGUCAGGAACACCGCUGCCUCUGCUGUCGUCCUCCCGCAGACAGGAGUGACUGGGACCUCCCUGGGUGCGGAUUACAGCAGCAGCAAUGCUCAGGUUCAGGACUGCGCUGCUCUCAGCUAGUUACCAUCUUAAAAAACUUUCAGACAGUCAAAGCGCAGCGAAAAUUUU
rnacentral:lncRNA from 1 species